GCGGCCGUGGCGCAGAGGCGACGCAGACGGUUUAGGUCCGUUGGCCCGUGAGGGCUUGAGGGUUCGAAUCCCUUCGGCCGCACCG
rnacentral:tRNA from 2 species